rnacentral:sRNA from 1 species
GAGACAGCCAUGGGCGUUUCUGCAUAACGGAUCCUCAAAACAGUCCUGGAUGGUGGCCUGUGAGUAGUGGUUAAGAGCACGGGUUUGGCGUCACAGUUAUGAAGCCUGGUUCUGCUGACUUGAGACCUGGAGGAAUGCCUUGAACUCUGACUUCUGUGUCCUUUCCUGUAGAAUGGGAAUAAUUCCCACCUUGCAGAGUUGUAGGGAGGAUGAAGGAAAUGAUCUUGGUUGACAAGUUUAUCGUGGUGUGGGUACCUAGGUAGUAGCUAUCAGUGUUAUUUAAUGCGGCCGGGCGCAGUGGCUUAACGCCUGUAAUCCCAGCACUUUGGGAGGCCGAGGCGGGAGGAUCACGAGGUCAGGAGAUCGAGACCAUCCUGGCUAACAUGGUGAAACCUCGUCUCUACUAAAAAUACAAAAAAUUAGCCAGGCGUGGUGGCACGCGCCUGUAGUCCCAGCUACUCUGGAGGCUGAGGCAGGAGAAUCGCUUGAACCCGAGAGGCGGAGGUUGCAGUGAGCCGAGAUCAUGCCACUGCACUCCAGCCUGGCGACAGAGCGAGACACUCUCUCUCUCUCUCUCUCUAAAAUUUAAUGAAUGAGGAAACGGCGAACAUACGUCCAAUAAGGUGGGACUUCACCAGCUAAGGUGGAGGAGGUGCCUUAACCUUCCGGAGCCUCUGUGUAAAAUGGGAAUAAUAUACAUUGUAAUGGCUGCUUCUCAAGAUGGUUGUAGGAUUAAGUAAGGUUAGAAAUAUGAAAAGAGCUUAUAAAUUGCAAAACAUUUUACCGAUGCUAAUGUAAUCGCUAACACUCCAGAGCAUUUUGAAAUUUUUUUAUAGAGUUGGCACAGCAGCAGGGUCAUAGGACACCCCCAGAGCAACUUGUGGGUCUUGGAAUAGAUGAAAAGAAACAACUGCCACUGUGUUGCUACCAUAAUCCUAAAGAUAAAGCUUUCCAGGAGACCCCUAUUUCCUCUCUGCUUUUUCUGCCUACGGCACUUCACACUUCUGUGCCAGCAUUUUUCCUGCCUAGUUAAAUACCAGUCUGUCAAUUAUGUAAGAGACAGCUUAGUCCAGUAGUUAAGAGCACAGACUGUGGACAUGGGCAGCCUGCAUCUGAAUACCAGUUCUGCCACUUACUAACGAUGUGACCUUGGACAAAUUAUUUUACCUCUCUUGGCCUCAAAUUUCUCAUCUGUAAAAUGGGGAAGGUAAUAAUGUAUUAUAUCAUCUACCUUGUGAGGUUUAAAUAAUGUUAGUGCUUGUAGAACACUCCCUGGCACAUUGUAAGCAAUGUAUAAGGAUUUGCUGCCAUUUUUGUUAGCACUGCUACUGCAUGACCAGGCAGUCAUUCUUCUCAGUAAUACUACUAGAUUCCUUUGGUUAGAGACAGCUCUGCGUUUAGAAGGUUCCAGGCAUGGAGAAAAGCUGGUGAAGGUCCUAGAAUAAAUGACUUCUUGGGGAUUUUUGUUGUUGGUUUUGUUCACUAAAGUAUCCCAUGCAACUGGAGUGGUACCUGGCACACAGUAGGUCCUCAGUAAAUGUUUAUGGUAUUAAUACAUUUCUAACCUUGCUUAUCUUUUUGCCCCAACAGGUGCUUGCCUUAGAGCAAGGGAAACAGCUCUGAUUCAAAGGAACUAGAAGCCUCUCCCUCAGUGCAUCCAGGAUAUUGCAGUCCUCUUCAACAUCAUCAUCAUUUUCCUCAUGUUCUUCAACACCUUCGUCUUCCAGGCUGGCCUGGUCAACCUCCUAUUCCAUAAAUUCAAAGGGACCAUCAUCCUGACAGCUGUGUACUUUGCCCUCAGCAUCUCCCUUCAUGUCUGGAUCAUGAACUUACGCUGGAAAAACUCCAACAGCUUCAUAUGGACAGAUGGACUUCAAACGCUGUUUGUAUUCCAGAGACUAGCGGCAGUGUUGUACUACUACUUCUAUAAACGGACAGCCGUAAGACUAGGCGACCCUCGCUUCUACCAGGACUCUUUGUGGCUGCGCAAGGAGUUCAUGCAAGUUCGAAGGUGACCUCUUGUCACACUGAUGGAUACUUUUCCUUCCUGAUAGAAGCCACAUUUGCUGCUCUGC